GUACAGCACCCCGUGGGGGUGGGAUCAAGCUGGGAGUGGGUGGGCAGAGCCCUCUCAGGUCAGCAGCCUCUUGGAUGAGGCCACAGAGCUGUAGUCUGUUAACAAGGCCAGAAGAUGCCUAUUUAUUCAUCCUACUUACUGACCCCGAAGCACUACCACUGACACCAUUACCACCAUGGACGGAGGUUUCAGCCUGCUCAGAUGACCAGAGCACUGGGGUGGCAGUCGGGAACACUUUUUACACUGAAACUGAUUUCUGGAGUAAGCAGUACAUACUCAUGCAAAAUUGUAAAGAUGCAAAAAGGAUGCAGAGAAAAAGCCCCACAGUCAAGAUCCCUUGACAUAUUCUUAGGAUCUUUAAAGGCAUCUGGACGUUACUCUAGUACCAGAAACUUGGUGAAGAAAAGAGGACGCCAGGCAAGGGUUGGGAGCCUGGAUGGAACUAAGAUCCCACAUGCUGUGGAGCCCCUAAGCCCUAGCAUCCCAACUAAAACUUGACACAGUCAAAUAAAUAAAUAUAUUAAAAAAAAAAAAAGAUUUAGAGGGCCCUCUCAGUGAAGACAUGUCUCAAAACUCCCUGUUCAAAACCAGGAGGUCAGGAAGCAAAGGAGUCAGGGCGGAAAUGGCCUGAAUUUCAGGGACCCGGCAAGUGAAGAGUUUGGGCUUUGGAAUCAAACAGACAAGAGCACAAACCACAGCUCCACAACAUGUGACCUUGGACAAGCACCUUUACCUCUUCUCUACAUGUUGGUUUCCCUCCUUGUAAUAUGGGAUGGAGACUAGUAACUGCCUCCUCUGCUGGUAAAUAAGAUACAAUCCAAAGGCACAGAGCACCUGGCCCAGAGAGAUUGCUUCGUAUCUGCUAUCCAGCAUGGCCAUCUGAUGGGGCCUGGACCUGGCUAAUUGUGGGCCCUGCUCCUCCCUCUGCCUGAGCCCCCAGCAGCUUCUCUGACCCAGCUGGAGGAAGAAGCUCUGAUGGGCAUCUCCUGUCCGUGCACAUCAAGUUAUUUCUAGUUGAUUUGUUAUUGUGGUUGUUGUGGUUGUUAUUUCUACUAAGAACAUUGAGCUAUGAAUAAACUGUGCAUUUUUCUUGAUGAAUGUGGAAAAGAGAUUCUCUAGGGUGUACAUAAUAAUAAUUAUAAUAAUAAACAACUGGAAAAAUAAGGGCAUUGAGUGCUCAGGAU
ensembl:lncRNA